rnacentral:rRNA from 1 species
GACGAACGCUGGCGGCGUGCCUAAUACAUGCAAGUAGAACGCUGAAGGAGGAGCUUGCUUCUCUGGAUGAGUUGCGAACGGGUGAGUAACGCGUAGGUAACCUGCCUGGUAGCGGGGGAUAACUAUUGGAAACGAUAGCUAAUACCGCAUAAGAGUAGAUGUUGCAUGACAUUUGCUUAAAAGGUGCAGUUGCAUCACUACCAGAUGGACCUGCGGUGUAUUAGCUAGUUGGUGGGGUAACGGCUCACCAAGGCGACGAUACAUAGCCGACCUGAGAGGGUGAUCGGCCACACUGGGACUGAGACACGGCCCAGACUCCUACGGGAGGCAGCAGUAGGGAAUCUUCGGCAAUGGACGGAAGUCUGAACGAGCAACGCCGCGUGAGUGAAGAAGGUUUUCGGAUCGUAAAGCUCUGUUGUAAGAGAAGAACGAGUGUGAGAGUGGAAAGUUCACACUGUGACGGUAUCUUACCAGAAAGGGACGGCUAACUACGUG